UACGAAGGGGGCUAGCGUUGCUCGGAAUCACUGGGCGUAAAGCGCACGUAGGCGGACUCUUAAGUCGGUGGUGAAAUCCUGGAGCUCAACUCCAGAACUGCCUUCGAUACUGAGAGUCUCGAGUCCGAGAGAGGUGAGUGGAACUGCGAGUGUAGAGGUGAAAUUCGUAGAUAUUCGCAAGAACACCAGUGGUGAAGGCGGCUCACUGGCUCGGUACUGACGCUGAGGUGCGAAAGCGUGGGGAGCGAACAGG
rnacentral:rRNA from 1 species